UAUACUUAGAAAAAUAAAACAAACAGUUAACAAGUGUAUAUAAGGCUUAUUGAACAACGUAUUGUUCAACAGUAAGACAGCAAACUUGGUAGAUGCGCAUGCAAAAUUACUAAAAUACAGUUUCUUUGUGAUUAGAUACUUGUUCGAUAAGUCGGCAAACAUGGCGUUAAAUGCGUGCAUAUUGUUAGUAAGUAUUGUUCUCCUGACAGUCUGUGAACUUCCUAUAGUACUUUCCGCCGGUGGAGCAAGUUGCUGGGCGGCACCUCUCAAUAUCUAUGGACCCACAUGCAGGUCUGACACAUCUAUAUUUGGAAGCCCCGGUCACAAAAUUCGGUAUUCAGUCAGCGUAAGCGGGAGCACACUAAUAUGUUGUAAGGGAUUUUAUUGUAAAGGUAGAACCUGCAAGCUGUACGAUAUCGGAUGUGGCCACGGGAGUUGGAGUACCCGCAGUCUGACCUGGGGCAAUAAUCUUGCUACACCGAAAAUGAAAUGUAAAGGCAAUCCUUUGGGUUCUGGAUAUUCAUUUAAGCACUAAUAGACGUAUUAUGCAAACAAACAAUAACUAUUCUAUUACUUGUAAAUGAUCAUCUUUACUGAUAACUGUUACGGAUACGUUUGAAGAAUGUUCAUAAAUUAAACCUUUCGUAUUCAUUCA